rnacentral:rRNA from 1 species
AUACGAAGGGGGCUAGCGUUGUUCGGAAUUACUGGGCGUAAAGCGCAUGUAGGCGGACAUUUAAGUCAGGGGUGAAAUCCCGGGGCUCAACCUCGGAACUGCCUUUGAUACUGGGUGUCUAGAGUGUGGAAGAGGUAAGUGGAAUUCCGAGUGUAGAGGUGAAAUUCGUAGAUAUCUGGAGGAACACCAGUGGCGAAGGCGACUUACUGGGCCGUAACUGACGCUGAUGCGCGAAAGCGUGGGGAGC